AUAUCUCAUAAUGCUACCCUGAACAAGCCCUAUCCCGUCUGAUCUUGGAAGCUAAGCAGGGUCGGGCCUGGUUAGUACUUGGAUGGGAGACCACCUAGAAAGACCAGGUGCUGUAGGUG
rnacentral:rRNA from 1 species